rnacentral:rRNA from 1 species
AGAGUUUGAUCAUGGCUCAGAUUGAACGCUGGCGGCACGCCUAACACAUGCAAGUCGAGCGGUAACAUGUCAUGUAGCAAUACAUGAUGAUGACGAGCGGCGGACGGGUGAGUAAUACGUAGGAACCUGCCCUAGAGUGGGGGACAACCAAGGGAAACUUUGGCUAAUACCGCAUAAACUCGAGAGAGCAAAGCUGCCGC